rnacentral:rRNA from 1 species
AUUGAACGCUGGCGGCAGGCCUAACACAUGCAAGUCGAGCGAGCGGCGGACGGGUGAGUAAUGUAUGGGGACUGCCCGAUAGAGGGGGAUAACUACUGGAAACGGUGGCUAAUACCGCAUACUAUCGGAUAACCCAUAUGGGAUUAGCUAGUAGGUGGGGUAAAGGCUCACCUGGGCGACGAUCUCUAGCUGGUCUGAGAGGAUGACCAGCCACAAUGGGACGGAGACACGGCCCAGACUCCUACGGAGGCAGCAGUGGGGAAUAUUGGACGAUGGGCGCAAGCCUGAUGCAGCCAUGCCGCGUGUAUGAAGAAGGCCUUAGGGGUGUAAAGUACUUGCAGCGGGGAGGCGGUACCUGCAGAAGAAGCACCGGCUAACUCCGUGCCAGCAGCCGCGGUAAUUC